GAAAUGCGAUAAGUAGUGUGAAUUGCAGAAUUCAGUGAAUCAUCGAAUCUUUGAACGCACAUUGCGCCCUUUGGUAUUCCUUAGGGCAUGCCUGUUCGAGCGUCAUUUAGCAACUCAAGCUCAGCUUGGUGUUGGGCGUCCUGUCCCCCUCACCGGGACUCGCCUCAAAUCGAUUGGCGGCCGGUACGUUGGCUUCGAGCGCAGCAGAAACGCGAACUCGGUGCCCGGCGAGCCGGCUCCCACAAGCCACACAUCUAACGUUUGACCUCGGAUCAGGUAGGGAUACCCGCUGAACUUAA
rnacentral:misc_RNA from 1 species